GGGGGCGACCUGGAUUCGACGUGGGUCGCGAAACCGGAGGUGCAUGCCGAGGAUGUAGCUGCCCUCGUAAAUCACGCUGCAAAUUUAUAGUUGCCAACGACGACAACUACGCACUCGCCGCUUAAAACCCGGUAGGGGUGCCGUCUGACUGGGGCCGUGCUUGUGCGCCCAGAUACCAGGCGUCGACUCUCACAAGAUCGCGAUGAAGCUCUCCCAGGGCCGACUCGUUAAAACCUAACUGGGAUCGCCGACUGUUUUCCCUGCCCGUCGGGUAGCAGGCGGUUAAACUCAAAGACCGGGAUAAGCAUGUAGAGCCGAAGGCAGAGGACUUGCGGACGCGGGUUCGAUUCCCGCCGCCUCCACCA
rnacentral:tmRNA from 1 species